GCACCCAUGGCGGAAUAGGUAGACGCAAGAGACUUAAAAUCUCUCGAUCAUUGGUCGUCCCGGUUCGAUUCCGGGUGGGUGCACCA
rnacentral:tRNA from 1 species